rnacentral:tRNA from 1 species
UGUCUCUGUAGCUCAGUGGAUAGAGCGAUGCCCUCCUAAGGCAUGUCAGCGGAGGUUCGACUCCUCUCAGGGACGG